rnacentral:rRNA from 1 species
UACGGAGGAUGCGAGCGUUAUCCGGAUUUAUUGGGUUUAGAGGGUGCGUAGGCGGACUGUCAAGUCAGCGGUAAAAUUGAGAGGCUCAACCUCUUCCCGCCGUUGAAACUGGUGGUCUUGAGUGGAUGAGAAGUACGCGGAAUGCGUGGUGAAGCGGUGAAAUGCAUAGAUAUCACGCAGAACUCCGAUUGCGAAGGCAGCGUACCGGCAUCCAACUGACGCUGAGGCACGAAAGCGUGGGGAUCAAACAGG